rnacentral:misc_RNA from 1 species
UACUCUCACACUCUCUGAUCCUUUGGAUUCAGGAAGUGGUGGACUUGGGUGUUUGCUGCUUUCCUUGUGGCUCACCUCAAAUGCGUCAGUGCACCUCUUGGUUGGACAUAGUACGGCGUGAUAAGUAUCUUCGCCGGCACCUCGUGAGAGGGUGGCCGAUCGGGAGCUCUGUGCUUUCAAACCGUCUUCGGACAAUCUCUGACA